rnacentral:pre_miRNA from 1 species
CUCGGGGGUGGGGGGGCCCCUCAUCCCAGAUUGUGAAAGGGCAUAGGCCAGGCCGAGGGACCCCACCCUCAGUGCACA